AACUUCUUGAAUCCUUUCAGAGAUUUCGUCAGACACCAACCCGUCAGGGAUGAUCAGACUUUUAAGAUAUCUGAAGUU
rnacentral:pre_miRNA from 1 species